GGCCUACGGGAGGCAGCAGUGGGGAAUAUUGCACAAUGGGGGAAACCCUGAUGCAGCGACGCCGCGUGAGUGAAGAAGUAUCUCGGUAUGUAAAGCUCUAUCAGCAGGAAAGAUAAUGACGGUACCUGACUAAGAAGCCCCGGCUAACUACGUGCCAGCAGCCGCGGUAAUACGUAGGGGGCAAGCGUUAUCCGGAUUUACUGGGUGUAAAAGGAGCGUAGACGGCAGCGCAAGUCUGGAGUGAAAUGCCGG
rnacentral:rRNA from 1 species